rnacentral:rRNA from 1 species
AGCGAACGCUGGCGGCGUACUUAACACAUGCAAGUCGAACGGGGAUCGACACGUGAGCAAUCACGUGGCGGUCUUAGUGGCGUACGGGUGAGUAACACGUGGGCAACCUGCCCUUGAGUCUGGGAUAACCUCCCGAAAGGGAGGCUAAUACCGGAUACGGUCCUCGGGUCGCGAGAUCUGAGGAAGAAAGGUGGCGCAAGCUACCGCUCUUGGAGGGACUCGCGGCCUAUCAGCUAGUUGGUGAGGUAACGGCUCACCAAGGCUAUGACGGGUAGCUGGUCUGAGAGGACGACCAGCCACACGGGGACUGAGACACGG